rnacentral:rRNA from 1 species
ACGGCUCAGUAACACGUGGAUAACCUACCCUCAGGAGGGGGAUAACCCCGGGAAACUGGGGAUAAUACCCCAUAGAUCAGGGACGCUGGAAUGCCCCCUGAUUCAAAGGUCCGCCGCCUGAGGAUGGGUCUGCGGCCGAUUAGGUUGUUGUUGGGGUAACGGCCCAACAAGCCAUUGAUCGGUACGGGUUGUGAGAGCAAGAGCCCGGAGAUGGAUUCUGAGACACGAAUCCAGGCCCUACGGGGCGCAGCAGGCGCGAAAACUUUACAAUGCGAGAAAUCGUGAUAAGGGAACCCCGAGUGCCCGUAAAUUCGGGCUGUCCGCCAGUGUAAAUAACUGGUGAAGAAAGGGCCGGGCAAGACCGGUGCCAGCCGCCGCGGUAAUACCGGCGGCUCGAGUGGUGGCCACUAUUACUGGGCUUAAAGCGUCCGUAGCUGGAUUGUUAAGUCUCUUGGGAAAUCCACCGGCUCAACCGAUGGGCGUUCAGGAGAAACUGGCAAUCUAGGGACCGGGAGAGGUGAGAGGUACUCCAGGGGUAGGAGUGAAAUCCUGUAAUCCUUGGGGGACCACCUGUGGCGAAGGCGUCUCACUAGAACGGCUCCGACAGUGAGGGACGAAAGCUGGGGGAGCAAACCGGAUUAGAUACCCGGGUAGUCCCAGCUGUAAACGAUGCGCGUUAGGUGUAUCGGUGACCACGAGUCAUCGAGGUGCCGAAGGGAAACCGUGAAACGUGCCGCCUGGGAAGUACGGUCGCAAGGCUGAAACUUAAAGGAAUUGGCGGGGGAGCAC